rnacentral:rRNA from 1 species
AAUGAUGGCCAGGCUGUCUCCACCCGAGACUCAGUGAAAUUGAACUCGCUGUGAAGAUGCAGUGUACCCGCGGCAAGACGGAAAGACCCCGUGAACCUUUACUAUAGCUUGACACUGAACAUUGAGCCUUGAUGUGUAGGAUAGGUGGGAGGCUUUGAAGYGUGGACGCCAGUCUGCRUGGAGCCGACCUUGAAAUACCACCCUUUAAUGUUUGAUGUUCUAACGUGGAYCCGUAAUCCGGGUUGCGGACAGUGUCUGGUGGGUAGUUUGACUGGGGCGGUCUCCUCCUAAAGAGUAACGGAGGAGCACGAAGGUUGGCUAAUCCUGGUCGGACAUCAGGAGGUUAGUGCAAUGGCAUAAGCCAGCUUGACUGCGAGCGUGACGGCGCGAGCAGGUGCGAAAGCAGGUCAUAGUGAUCCGGUGGUUCUGAAUGGAAGGGCCAUCGCUCAACGGAUAAAAGGUACUCCGGGGAUAACAGGCUGAUACCGCCCAAGAGUUCAUAUCGACGGCGGUGUUUGGCACCUCGAUGUCGGCUCAUCACAUCCUGGGGCUGAAGUAGGUCCCAAGGGUAUGGCUGUUCGCCAUUUAAAGUGGUACGCGAGCUGGGUUUAGAACGUCGUGAGACAGUUCGGUCCCUAUCUGCCGUGGGCGCUGGAGAACUGAGGGGGGCUGCUCCUAGUACGAGAGGACCGGAGUGGACGCAUCACUGGUGUUCGGGUUGUCAUGCCAAUGGCACUGCCCGGUAGCUAAAUGCGGAAGAGAUAAGUGCUGAAAGCAUCUAAGCACGAAACUUGCCCCGAGAUGAGUUCUCCCUGAGACUUAGAGUCUCCUGAAGGAACGUUGAAGACGACGACGUUGAUAGGCCGGGUGUGUAAGCGCAGCGAUGCGUUGAGCUAACCGGUACUAAUGAACCGUGAGGCUUAACCUUACAACGCCGAAG